AGUGAACGCUGGCGGUAGGCCUAACACAUGCAAGUCGAACGGCAGCACAGUAAGAGCUUGCUCUUACGGGUGGCGAGUGGCGGACGGGUGAGGAAUACAUCGGAAUCUACUUUUUCGUGGGGGAUAACGUAGGGAAACUUACGCUAAUACCGCAUACGACCUACGGGUGAAAGCAGGGGAUCUUCUGACCUUGCGCGAUUGAAUGAGCCGAUGUCGGAUUAGCUAGUUGGCGGGGUAAAGGCCCACCAAGGCGACGAUCCGUAGCUGGUCUGAGAGGAUGAUCAGACACACUGGAACUGAGACACGGUCCAGACUCCUACGGGAGGCAGCAGUGGGGAAUAUUGGACAAUGGGCGCAAGCCUGAUCCAGCAAUACCGCGUGGGUGAAGAAGGCCUUCGGGUUGUAAAGCCCUUUUGUUGGGAAAGAAAAGCAGCAGGUUAAUACCCCGAUGUUGUGACGGUACCAAAAGAAUAAGCACCGGCUAACUUCGUG
rnacentral:rRNA from 1 species